rnacentral:rRNA from 1 species
GGGGAAUAUUGCACAAUGGGCGCAAGCCUGAUGCAGCCAUGCCGCGUGUAUGAAGAAGGCCUUCGGGUUGUAAAGUACUUUCAGCGAGGAGGAAGGCGUUAAGGUUAAUAACCUUAACGAUUGACGUUACUCGCAGAAGAAGCACCGGCUAACUCCGUGCCAGCAGCCGCGGUAAUACGGAGGGUGCAAGCGUUAAUCGGAAUUACUGGGCGUAAAGCGCACGCAGGCGGUCUGUCAAGUCGGAUGUGAAAUCCCCGGGCUCAACCUGGGAACUGCAUUCGAAACUGGCAGGCUAGAGUCUUGUAGAGGGGGGUAGAAUUCCAGGUGUAGCGGUGAAAUGCGUAGAGAUCUGGAGGAAUACCGGUGGCGAAGGCGGCCCCCUGGACAAAGACUGACGCUCAGGUGCGAAAGCGUGGGGAGCAAAC